CACAUACAACCGCACACACCCCGCACACACACACAUACACACACACACACACACACACACACAAACGCACACAUAGAAGCAUUUACAAAACUCCAGCAAUCGUCAGCUUCUCUUCUCAUUUAAUAUCGGUAAAAGCAUGGCAAUCUCCAUUUCUCUGCGCUAGGUAGAACCAUAUUUAACCCCGUCCAGGCCCCCCCCCCCCCCCCCCCCCCUCAUGUACAGUCCAAGUCUACAGUGCGUACGUUUGGAAUGAAUGAAUGCCUUCAGAGCCCACUCGUUAGGGAAUCCACUCCGCUCAAAGCUUAGCGCUGAGCCAACUCCUGUUUGAUAGCAGCAGUGGCCUGAGUCAAUGUACUGCUACAGAAGAGCUAUGGAUACUAGGUGGUAGUAGUACUAUGGGUACUAGGUAGUACUACUGUAGGUAGUAGAUAGUAGCGCUAUGGAUACUUGUAGGUGGUGCUACUAUAGAUAUUAGGUGGUACUACUAUAGAGAGUAGAUAGAAGUGCUAUGGAUACUAGGUAGUACUACUAUAGAUUCUAGGUAGUACUACUAUAUAUAGUAGAUAGUAGUGCUAUGGAUACUAGGUAGUACUACUAUAGGUACUAGAUAGUACUAUACAUAUACUAGAAGUACUAUGGAUACUAUGUAUUACUAGUGUAGAUAGUUGAUAGUAUUACUAUGGAUACUAGGUAGUACUACUAUAGAGAGUAGAUAUAGUACUAUCGAUACUAGGUAGUACUACUAUAGAGAGUAGAUAUUAGUACUAUUGAUACUAGGUAUUACUACUAUAGAGAGUAGAUAGUAGUACAAUCAAUACUAGGUAGUACUACUACAGAGAGUAGAUAGUAGUACUAUUGAUACUAGGUGGUACUACUGUAGAUAGUAGAUAGUAGUGCUAUGGAUACUAGGUAGUACUACUAUAGAGAGUAGAUAUAGUACUAUCGAUACUAGGUGGUACUACUGUAGAUAGUAGUGCUAUGGAUACUAGGUAGUACUACUAUAGAGAGUAGAUAUAGUACUAUCGAUACUAGGUAGUACUACUAUAGAGAGUAGAUAGUAGUACUAUCGAUACUAGGUAGUACUACUAUAGAGAGUAGAUAGUAGUACUAUCGAUACUAGGUGGUACUACUGUAGAGAGUAGAUACUAGUACUAUGGAUACUAGGUGGUACUACUGUAGAUAGUAGAUACUAGUACUAUGGAUACUAGGUGGUACUACUGUAGAUAGUUGCUAGGCACCACUGCUCCUGUUUUCCUUCUACCUGAAGCUGCUCCGGUGUGACGGGGAAGACGGACGGAAGCCUUUCUGAGGCGGUUGUACUUCCCACCGACCGGAGGCCAGUGUCCGCUUUACGAUGGAUUCCGAUUGGUCGGUUCCCCCUGGCGGUUUAGAUUAAUCAGGGGAGAGAGAGAGACGGAGAAAGAGAGAAAGGGAGAGGGGGGGAGAGAGAGGGAGAAGGAGAGAGAAAGAGAGAGGGAGGGAGAGAGAAUAGGACCGAGGGAAAGGAUAAAGACAGGGAAGACUGAGAGUUGAUAUCCAUAAGCUCUCCGUGUGGAGCUGGUGCAGGGGGGGGGGGCACGUGGCGGUCUGUUUGGCUCUUUGAUCGCCAAGAAGUGUCCCACGUUUGAGAGCGCGCGCUGAAGGUCUAAUUAGCGUAUACAGUUACAGAUCCAAACUAGGAUCUGCACACGGAUGCUUAAGUCCUUAAGAGGUGUGUCUGUGUGCGUGUGGGUGUGUGUGUGUGCGUCUGUUGCGCGUGCGUGUGUGUGUGUGUGCACGCGUGUAUGUGUGUGCGCGAGUGUGCGUGUGUGUGUGUGUGUGUGUGUGUGUGUGUAUGUGUGUGUGAAUGCACACACUCAGGCAAGUGUGUGUAGUUCAGAGGUGUGUCUGGUUACUGCACAAAAUAAAUGCUACCCGUAAUUGGCAACGGUAUAACUGGACUCAAUCUGAAAAUGUACAACUUUAUAGUCUAUUUAUUUAUUCCAGUAUUUAUUCAAAAGACAUCGACCACCUCAUGAUGUGAUUAAUCGUGCCAUGUACUGCGAAACAUCUGCAACUGCUAAACUGUAAAAUACAUUCUAAUCGUUGUUCUGACACAGUGGGGGUGCCGGGAUUAUGCAUAUUAUUACACAUUAUUAUGAACACAUUAAUAAUCUUGUAAAAUUGUAAUAAAUGUUCCACGUGCUUUCGAAUUAUCUACAAUUUUGUAUGUCAUAGGAGCGCAUACUAAAAGGCAUAACUUGUAAUGUUACGACACAUAAUGCAAGGCUUGGAGCAUCUGAUGACAGUCGGUUGCACAGGUCUUAGAGAUGAGUUUUUGUUCCCGUUCGCUGUGUCAGAGCGCUCUGUUUUAUUCCAGGCUACUUAGAGAACACGCAGUGCAUGUUUGUGAUGCUUCACUUGUUAAUCUUACUGCCCAUUCCUGCCCCGACAAAGCCCACCGUAGCCUUGUGGUCCCUUUGUGUUGCUAACUACUGUAAAUGUUUACUAGAAUGUGGAACAACUGAUUAAAGAAUUGUAAUAUUCUCAUUUCUAUGUUUUAAGGGGAAAAAACUGAAAGGUUUUAAUUUAAAUCCACCAAAUAUCCACUCCUGACUCUGUUGAAAAGGCACUCCGAUACACGAGUGGUUUAAAAUAUACUCUUUCCUUGUUACAGGUCUCAAGUUUCAAUUACAUUAUAUUACAUGACAAAGAAUUAAAUAAACCGUUUUCAUGGUAAAUUAA